rnacentral:tRNA from 1 species
GCCUGGGUGGCUCAGUUGGUUGAGUGUCUGACUUUCGGCUCAGGUCAUGAUCUCGCAGUUUGUGAGUUCGAGCCCCGCAUCAGGCU